GCGGGGCGGGGGGGGGGCGGCGCGCGCGCGAGGCCGGAGCCGGGCGGAGGGAGAGGCGUGCGGCCCGUUCGGAUCCGGGGCUCGUCCGGGGGCCCCGGUGCUGUGGUGCUCGCCGCCCGCCCACCCCCACCCCAGGGCAACACCCGGGCGGGAGGGCGCGGGGCGCGCACACCCCGGAGCACCCCGGUCCCGGCGCGCCGGCCUUCCUGCGGAGUGGAGGCUGCCGUCGCCGCGCUGGGCGGUGGGGGGCGGUGGGGGCCUGCCCCGGGGUCGCGGCGAAGUGGGUAUUUCCUUCUCUUCAACCUUUGCCUGCCUGGAAGAAGAGGGCAGGUGUCCUUCAUGCAGAAGAUCGAAAGCCGCUGGCCUUAUGAGUUCGGAGAUAUGCUUGGAAUGUUUAGAAUUUUUUAAUUAAAAGGAUCCCAGCUGUGGUGGAAGUUCCCGACGAUCUGUAUCUGUCUUCUGAGGACCUGGGAACGUUCUCGGGACUGUGUCUUCCUGGCCUGCGACCUGAAGGGGCUCGUGCCGGCGGCUGCUGGUGUCGGGUGCCCGCCCCCGCCCCCGCCCGCCCGGAGAGGGUCUCAUGCAGCACCUGGCUCGCUUCCUAGUUAGCUGCUCUCGCAUCAUUUACUUUCUGGUCAUGGAGCGCCCGCGCUCCGUCUGACUUUUUUCAUUUCAAACUUUUACGGUUGCUCUAAGCAGCAACCCUCCUGAACAUAACGAUGAGAAUUUGCAUGUUGCUUUAAGUGGCAGCAGAAUUAGUUUGUACUGGAAAUAAUUAUUGCCGUAUCGUUCUUUUUGGAGGAACUCAAAAACUUUAAGCUGACCUUGCUAUGUUCUCUGCUCCCAUUUCUCUUAAUCGUAAAAGCCCUCUUCUUUCUUCUUGCAGAAUUGUCACCUUAGCUAACGGUGUAUUUUUUUUUUUCUAUUUUAGUAAACUUUAUUCUUUAGGUACCCAGCAAAAUUGAGUGGAAAAGGCAGAGCUGGCAUACACUCCCUGUCUCCACACAGCUCAGCCCUCCCCCACUCUCCGGUCCCUUUUGUUACAGUCAGUAUCCAGCGCUGACGCCUGCGUGAUCUGGUGAUCUCGGAGUCCGUGCUGUGCACCGGAGUUCACUCGGGCUGGGGUGCGUCCGAUGGAUUUUGACGAAUGUAACAUGAAGUACAUCCGCCAUUAGAGUACCGUGCACACUACCCUGAAGACCUCCCUGGUCUACUUAUUCAUCCCUCCCUUACAACCGCUGGUCUUUUCUGUUGUGUCCGUGGCUUUGUCUUUUCCAGAAUGUCACACAGUUAGAAUCCUCCAGGACGGAGCCUUUUCACGCUGGCUUCUCUUAUGUAGCCAUAUGUGUUCAAGGCUCCUCCGUGUCUCUUCGUGGCUUGGGAGCACAUUUCUUUUUAGCCCUAGGUGAUUUUCGUUGUGUGCUUGUAUCGUUUAUCUCUACCUACUGAAGGGUGCGCUGGUCACUUCCAACUUUGGGCGGUUAUGAAUAAAGAUGCUUUGCUAUAAA